AUGAAGAUUGCCUCCAAGCUCACCACCAAAGGUCAUCCUAUGGAGAAUGUGGUGGGAAGCCUAAGAAAGGGGCUAAGCACUUGUAGACAAUUAGCAAACUAUUGUGAACAUCAUGCGUUUGUUUCUUGUGUCGAACCCCAAAAGGUUUAUGAGGCGCUCGAGGACCCGGAUUGGCUCAAUGCCAUGCAUGAAGAACUCAACAACUUUGAGCAUAACCAAGUGUGGAAAUUAGUGCCAAGGCCAACCGGGAAUCAUAAUGUCAUAGGCACCAAGUGGAUAUUCAAGAACAAGCAAGAUGCUCAUGGGAUUAUUGUUCGCAACAAGGCUCGCUUGGUGGCACAAGGCUACUCCCAAGUCGAGGGUAUCGACUAUGGUGAAACCUUUGCUCCCGUUGCUCGCCUUGAAUCUAUUUGUUUGUUGAUUGCUUAUGCUUCUCAUCAUAAUUUCACGUUGCAACAAAUGGAUGUGAAGAGUGCUUUUCUUAAUGGUCCCAUUAAUGAGUUGGUGUACGUCAAACAACCCCCCGGGUUCGAAGAUCCCUACUUCCCCGAUCAUGUGUACCAAUUCCACAAGGCGCUCUAUGUCCUUAAACAAGCCCCACAUGCGUGGUAUGAGCAUCUUACGGAGUUGUUACAAGAUCGUGGGUUCGAAAUCGGGAAAAUCGAUCCCACUCUUUUUACUAAGAAGGUCAAAGGGGAGUUGUUUGUGUGCCAACUAUAUGUUGAUGAUAUUAUUUUUGGUUCCCCUAACAAAGCUUUCAAUGAAGAAUUUGCCGCACUCAUGACCUCAAAGUUCAAGAUGUCUAUGAUGGGAGAGUUGAAGUUCUUCCUCGGGUUCGAAAUCAAGCAAAGAAGAGAAGGAACCUUCAUCAACCAAGCCAAAUACACUCAAGACAUGCUAAAGAGAUUCAAGCUAAGUGAUGUCAAGCCGGCUUCCACCCCAAUUCCCACCAAGUGCCAACUUGACAUUGAUCCAAAUGGUAAAGCGGUGGAUCAAAAGGUAUUUCGCUCUAUGAUUGGCUCCUUGCUUUACCUUUGUGCAUCUAGACCGGAUAUCAUGUUGAGUGUGGGAAUUUGUGCACGGUUUCAAGCCGCACCAAAGGAAAGUCACUUGGUGGCGGUCAAGCGAAUCUUUUGA
rnacentral:rRNA from 1 species